UACGGAGGGUGCAAGCGUUAAUCGGAAUUACUGGGCGUAAAGCGUGCGUAGGCGGUUCGUUAAGUCUGUUGUGAAAGCCCCGGGCUCAACCUGGGAAUGGCAAUGGAUACUGGCGAGCUAGAGUGUGUCAGAGGAUGGUGGAAUUCCCGGUGUAGCGGUGAAAUGCUAGAGAUCGGGAGGAACAUCAGUGGCGAAGGCGGCCAUCUGGGACAACACUGACGCUGAGGCACGAAAGCGUGGGGAGCAAACAGG
rnacentral:rRNA from 1 species